UACGUAGGGUGCAGGCGUUAAUCGGAAUUACUGGGCGUAAAGCGUGCGCAGGCGGCCUCUUAAGUCAGAUGUGAAAUCCCCGGGCUUAACCUGGGAACUGCGUUUGAAACUGGGAGGCUUGAGUGUGGAAGAGGGGGGUGGAAUUCCAGGUGUAGCAGUGAAAUGCGUAGAGAUCUGGAGGAACACCGAUGGCGAAGGCAGCCCCCUGGGCUGACACUGACGCUCAUGCACGAAAGCGUGGGGAGCAAACAGG
rnacentral:rRNA from 1 species